rnacentral:rRNA from 1 species
GGGUUGUGAGGUUAAGCGACUAAGCGUACACGGUGGAUGCCCUGGCAGUCAGAGGCGAUGAAGGACGUGCUAAUCUGCGAAAAGCGUCGGUAAGGUGAUAUGAACCGUUACAGCCGGCGAUGUCCGAAUGGGGAAACCCAGUGUGAUUCGUCACACUAUCGUUAACUGAAUACAUAGGUUAACGAGGCGAACCGGGGGAACUGAAACAUCUAAGUACCCCGAGGAAAAGAAAUCAACCGAGAUUCCCCCAGUAGCGGCGAGCGAACGGGGAGCAGCCCAGAGUCUGAAUCAGCUUGUGUGUUAGUGGAACGGUCUGGAAAGUCCGACGGUACAGGGUGAUAGUCCCGUACACCAAAAUGCACAGGCUGUGAACUCGAAGAGUAGGGCGGGACACGUGGUAUCCUGUCUGAAUAUGGGGGGACCAUCCUCCAAGGCUAAAUACUCCUGACUGACCGAUAGUGAACCAGUACCGUGAGGGAAAGGCGAAAAGAACCCCGGCGAGGGGAGUGAAAAAGAACCUGAAACCGUGUACGUACAAGCAGUGGGAGCACCUUUAUGGUGUGACUGCGUACCUUUUGUAUAAUGGGUCAGCGACUUAUAUUCUGUAGCAAGGUUAACCGUAUAGGGGAGCCGCAGGGAAACCGAGUCUUAACUGGGCGUUAAGUUGCAGGGUAUAGACCCGAAACCCGGUGAUCUAGCCAUGGGCAGGUUGAAGGUUGGGUAACACUAACUGGAGGACCGAACCGACUAAUGUUGAAAAAUUAGCGGAUGACUUGUGGCUGGGGGUGAAAGGCCAAUCAAACCGGGAGAUAGCUGGUUCUCCCCGAAAGCUAUUUAGGUAGCGCCUCGUGAAUUCAUCUUCGGGGGUAGAGCACUGUUUCGGCUAGGGGGUCAUCCCGACUUACCAACCCGAUGCAAACUACGAAUACCGAAGAAUGUUAUCACGGGAGACACACGGCGGGUGCUAACGUCCGUCGUGAAGAGGGAAACAACCCAGACCGCCAGCUAAGGUCCCAAAGUCAUGGUUAAGUGGGAAACGAUGUGGGAAGGCACAGACAGCCAGGAUGUUGGCUUAGAAGCAGCCAUCAUUUAAAGAAAGCGUAAUAGCUCACUGGUCGAGUCGGCCUGCGCGGAAGAUGUAACGGGGCUAAACCAUGCACCGAAGCUGCGGCAGCGACACGAUGUGUUGUUGGGUAGGGGAGCGUUCUGUAAGCCUGCGAAGGUGACCUGUGAGGGUUGCUGGAGGUAUCAGAAGUGCGAAUGCUGACAUAAGUAACGAUAAAGCGGGUGAAAAGCCCGCUCGCCGGAAGACCAAGGGUUCCUGUCCAACGUUAAUCGGGGCAGGGUGAGUCGACCCCUAAGGCGAGGCCGAAAGGCGUAGUCGAUGGGAAACAGGUUAAUAUUCCUGUACUUGGUGUUACUGCGAAGGGGGGACGGAGAAGGCUAUGUUAGCCGGGCGACGGUUGUCCCGGUUUAAGCAUGUAGGCUGAUUAUCCAGGCAAAUCCGGAUAAUCAAGGCUGAGGUGUGAUGACGAGGCACUACGGUGCUGAAGUAACAAAUGCCCUGCUUCCAGGAAAAGCCUCUAAGCAUCAGGUAACAUCAAAUCGUACCCCAAACCGACACAGGUGGUCAGGUAGAGAAUACCAAGGCGCUUGAGAGAACUCGGGUGAAGGAACUAGGCAAAAUGGUGCCGUAACUUCGGGAGAAGGCACGCUGGUGUGUAGGUGAAGCCCCUGCGGGUGGAGCUGAGACCAGUCGAAGAUACCAGCUGGCUGCAACUGUUUAUUAAAAACACAGCACUGUGCAAACACGAAAGUGGACGUAUACGGUGUGACGCCUGCCCGGUGCCGGAAGGUUAAUUGAUGGGGUUAUCCGUAAGGAGAAGCUCUUGAUCGAAGCCCCGGUAAACGGCGGCCGUAACUAUAACGGUCCUAAGGUAGCGAAAUUCCUUGUCGGGUAAGUUCCGACCUGCACGAAUGGCGUAAUGAUGGCCAGGCUGUCUCCACCCGAGACUCAGUGAAAUUGAACUCGCUGUGAAGAUGCAGUGUACCCGCGGCAAGACGGAAAGACCCCGUGAACCUUUACUAUAGCUUGACACUGAACAUUGAGCCUUGAUGUGUAGGAUAGGUGGGAGGCUUUGAAGCGUGGACGCCAGUCUGCGUGGAGCCAACCUUGAAAUACCACCCUUUAAUGUUUGAUGUUCUAACGUUGGCCCCUUACCGGGGUUGCGGACAGUGUCUGGUGGGUAGUUUGACUGGGGCGGUCUCCUCCCAAAGCGUAACGGAGGAGCACGAAGGUUAGCUAAUCCUGGUCGGACAUCAGGAGGUUAGUGCAAUGGCAUAAGCUAGCUUGACUGCGAGCGUGACGGCGCGAGCAGGUGCGAAAGCAGGUCAUAGUGAUCCGGUGGUUCUGAAUGGAAGGGCCAUCGCUCAACGGAUAAAAGGUACUCCGGGGAUAACAGGCUGAUACCGCCCAAGAGUUCAUAUCGACGGCGGUGUUUGGCACCUCGAUGUCGGCUCAUCACAUCCUGGGGCUGAAGUAGGUCCCAAGGGUAUGGCUGUUCGCCAUUUAAAGUGGUACGCGAGCUGGGUUUAGAACGUCGUGAGACAGUUCGGUCCCUAUCUGCCGUGGGCGCUGGAGAAUUGAGGGGGGCUGCUCCUAGUACGAGAGGACCGGAGUGGACGCAUCACUGGUGUUCGGGUUGUCAUGCCAAUGGCACUGCCCGGUAGCUAAAUGCGGAAGAGAUAAGUGCUGAAAGCAUCUAAGCACGAAACUUGCCCCGAGAUGAGUUCUCCCUGAGACUUUAAGUCUCCUUAAGGAACGUUGAAGACUACGACGUUGAUAGGCCGGGUGUGUAAGCGCAGCGAUGCGUUGAGCUAACCGGUACUAAUGAACCGUGAGGCUUAACCUUACAACGCCG